CCUGGGGCAGAACAGAGCCCGGAUCCGCACCUGGGGCAGGACAGAGCCCGCAUCCGCACCUGGGGGAGGAGAGAGCCCGCAUUCACACCUGGGGCGGGAGAGACUGCAACCACAGCUGGAGCAGGACAGAGCCCGCAUCCGCACCUGGCGCGGGAGAGUAGCCCCGCAUCCGCACCGGGGGCAGGACAGAGCCCACAUUCGCGCUGGGCAGCGCCCGCAGCCGCCCUGCUCCGUCUCCAGCAUGAGCGGCCGCGCCGGGGGAGCCGCGGGGCUCUGCCCCGGCCACGGAUGAGCUCUCUCCUAUGGACGUUGAACUCCCAGCUGCCUGUGCCUGCUGCCUGUGAUGGAAGAGCUGGAUGUGAAUGUGAGUUCAAGUGAGGGCUUCGGCAUCGCGGAGAAGAUCGUGCUGCUCUCCUUCAUCUCCGCCGUCAUCCUGAUGGCCAUCCUGGGCAACCUGCUGGUCAUGGUGGCCGUGUGCCGGGACAGGCAGCUCAGGAAAAUCAAGACCAACUAUUUCAUCGUUUCCCUGGCCUUUGCUGACCUGCUGGUGUCGGUGCUGGUGAUGCCCUUUGGAGCCAUGGAGCUGGUUCAGGACAACUGGAUCUACGGAGAGAUGUUCUGCCUGGUGCGCACCUCCCUGGACGUGCUGCUGACCACGGCGUCCAUCCUGCACCUCUGCUGCAUCUCCCUGGACAGGUACUAUGCCAUCUGCUGCCAGCCCCUGGUGUACAGGAACAAGAUGACCCCGCUGCGCAUCACGCUGAUGCUGGGAGGCUGCUGGGUGAUCCCGACCUUCAUCUCCUUCCUCCCCAUCAUGCAGGGCUGGAACAGCAUUGGCAUCAUUGAUCUGAUCCAGCAAAGGCAAUUCAACAAGGCCUCCAACUCCACCUACUGCAUCUUCAUGGUGAACAAGCCCUACGCCAUCACCUGCUCCGUGGUGGCCUUCUACAUCCCCUUCCUGCUGAUGGUGCUGGCCUACCACCGCAUCUACGUGACGGCGCGGGCGCACGCGCGGCAGAUCCGCCUGCUGCAGCGCGCGGGGAACCCGGCCGAGCCCCGCCAGGGCCCUCAGGAACCGCGGCCAGGCCCUCAGGAACCACGGCAUGGCUCCCAGGAACCACGGCAGGGCCCUCAGGAACCACGGCAGGGUCAUCAGGAACCACGGCAUGGCUCCCAGGAACCACGGCAGGGUCAUCAGGAACCACGGCCGGGCCCUCAGGAACCACGGCAGGGCCCUCAGGAGCUACAACCUGGCCCUAAGGAGCCAUGGCAGCACCCCCAGGAGCCACGGCCUGGCCCCCAGGAUCCACGGCCAGGCCCUCAGGAGCCACGGCAGCACGCCCCCGACCAGCACAGCAGCCACCGCAUGAAAACCGAGACCAAAGCUGCCAAGACCCUGUGCAUCAUCAUGGGCUGCUUCUGCCUCUGCUGGGCCCCCUUCUUCGUCACCAACAUCGUGGAUCCCUUCAUUAACUACACGGUGCCCGGCAAGCUGUGGACGGCCUUCCUGUGGCUGGGCUACAUCAACUCGGGCUUGAACCCUUUCCUCUACGCCUUCCUCAACAAGGCUUUCAGACGUGCCUUCCUCAUCAUCCUCUGCUGCGGCGACGAGCGCUACCGAAGGCCUUCCAUCCUGGGCCAGACCGUGCCCUGCUCCACCACCACCAUCAACGGCUCCACGCACGUGCUGAGUGGCUGUUCCUCUGUCUCCAAGCUCCUCCUGCUCUUCUGCAGCAGACCAGCUCCUGUCUAGCCAUGACCAUGCUCUGGUGAACAGCUGGAAGUGUUGAGCUCACUGCCAGAGGCUUCAGACAGACACUUUGUGCCACAGACACCCCGGGACACCUUAAUGACUCCUCUUUAGCUUAAUGAACCUCUAACAAUCGGCACCGCCUGCUCUUGCUGCUCUUGCUCCACUCUGGGACGGCUGCAGAACACGGAGGAAGGUACACGGUUUUACACAACGGGCACCACCAGGAACAAGAGAAGCUUCCCAUCCACACUGACCCUGAAUCCCAAGAGUCCUGUUUCUAGUCCUGGCCCAGAAGAGGAGGAACAGAGGCCUUUGAGGAUAUCCCAAGGAUUCACAGACAGCAGGCCCUGAACAUCCAUCCAUCUGCAUUGUCCUGGUGCCUCCUGCAGUGAAUUCCCAGGAAUGCCCAGCUGUGGGAGCUGGCUGGGAGCAUGGGCAGAGUCAGGACUGCUGUCCCUGUCCCUGUCCCUGCAGGAGCAGCUGGAGCUGUGCCAGAGCCCUGCUCCAGGACCAGAACAGCUCCAAACCAGCCUGUGCAGGGACUCCUGCUGCUCCUUUCCAGCUGCUCCUUCCCAGCUCACCCCACCCUGGAGCUCCCAGCUGUGGGGUGGCACCGAGCUGCUCCCUCCCUGCUGGCUCUGCCUGGAGCCCGGGCACUGCCAGGGGAGGAGCAGCCCCACGUUUUCUCCAGGAGAACAAGAGGAAAUGUUUGCUGCCCUUUGGUCCCAGCCCCAGCGCUCUGGAAUGCUCUGGUGGGGUUUCCUGGCCAGGGAGGACCCCAGGGUGAGCAGGAGCUGAGUGGGACCAGCCCAGCUCGGAGCCAUGGCCCUGCUCUGCCGUUCCCAGGGGAUGGGACGUGCCCUGGAGCCCAGAGCUGUCCCCAUCCCUCCCCGAGCAAACUCUGGGCAUUCUGAGGCAGCAGAAGCUUGGCCAGGAGCCAGAGCCAGUGGAUCACUAAGUGCCAUCUUGGAAAAGAACCACCUAAACCCUUUUCUAGCUACAUUUGGAAGAGACACUUCUACUUACCUUUGCCACCGUUAUUUUUCUAUUUGUUGCUGGUCUCUUCCAGUCGAGGCAAGAAGUUUUCCAGACUCUCCAGUCUCACAUCUGCAAAGCUCUCAGUCCUCAGCUGCUCCCUGCAUGUCGCCGUUGCCACGUUCCUCGUGGGCUGCUUCCCCCUUUGCAUGGAAAGGGUGGGCAAGGCUCUAAACUCCACGAAUUUGGGAAAAGGAUUGUCAUGCAGGAUCAAGACCACGAGCCUCGACCCUUUUUAGGUGAAGAUCUACCCCAAGAUGCCACCCUGAGCCUAGAAAAUACAAUUGUACUUUGUCAUAUCGUAGAACCAUGUACAGAUAUUUUUAAUGUACAAAGCUGACAUUAUUUAUUAUUUUUUAUCAGGAACAUGUGGUUUUUUCAUUAAAAGCUUCUAGACCAAGGAGCUUAACAUUCUAUGUAUUAUUAUUUAGUAAUAUUUCUGUUGCUAUGUGACAGGUAUUUACUGCAAACAGACAAAUCACGCUCAGAACAAACAAAAAUGUUGCUCAGUAGGAGAAAUAUUGUGCAUGAGAAGAACAAGUGGCUUCCUGGCCAUGGUGUCUGACUUCUUUAAAUACUUCUUCCACAGCAAAGUCACUGAUAAAGCUUCACGUCUUUUUCCUGUAGGAUUCAGAAGGACACUGGGCAGAAACAGCCCCAGUUGGAAUGCUGAGGUAGAAAAUUGCUGGUUGUUGGAAAGACACAAAUUAUUGGUGUUUGUGGUGGAAGGUGCUCCUGGUUCACCUCUGGAACCUGGUUGGCAAUGACCUAUUUUUACAGGGUUUUAUCUCAAAAAAAUUCAUGUAACUUUUGACACCAGAGCUGUGGAGUGAAAAAAAAAGCCAAAAAAAUUGGAAAAAAACCCACCCAGGGCUGCUUCAGUGCUGUGAUCCUCCCCUCUGUGGAAGUGCCCACAGGGGUUUGUUGGGCUUUGGGCACACGAGGCUGCAGAACAGCUUGGCUUGCUUUCACUCCAAGUGCCAAAUUUCUUAAAGAAAUCCUCAAAAAAAGCUUUUCUCUGCCCCCAUUGAAGGGCAUCAAAUCUUGGCGUGAAAUUUCCUGGAGUGAGAUGGAACCAGCAGCACGAGGAAGGAUUCUUUGGUUCUGCUUUCUCCUUCAGGCAUUGUUUUCUCCUUUAUUUUUAUGUGCAUUAGGAAAAGAUCUCUUUUUAAUUUAAAAUAAACUCCCAGUUUCCCCAGGGAAACAUUCCCAAGGCUCUGUCAAUGGCAGCAGUGGCUCACCAGCCAAAAUGGUCAAAGGCUCUCACUGGGAAAAGGCUCCCCCCUCCCAACUGGGUGAAAUUCCAAACACCAAAUGUCCAUGUCCUGUGUCACCUCCAAUCCCUCCCUGGGCUCAGCAAACCUGUCAGGAACCCCCUGGCAGCUCCUGCUCCAUCAGCCAACGAUCCCAGACAGCCUCUGUGACCCAGGGAUGGCACCGUGCCACCAGCAGUGGAGAACUCCCCUGGAAGAGGAGGGGUCUCAUGGAGAGCCCACUCUGGAUUCCCCUGGCUGCUCCCAGUCCAGCUCUGCCCACCUUGGCUGCUGGUGCCAGUCCUUGCCUGUGCCCAGUGACGUGUGCUGCCGUGGCUCUUCCUGAAAAUAAAAGCUCCUCUCUGGACGUGGCAGUGACCUCCAGCUUGGGCUCAUUUCUGUGCUGCUGGCACUGCAGCCCCAGGUGGGAGCAGGUGGCACCUCCCAGCUGCCCCACAGGAGGCUCCAGGAGCUGGAACAGGGAGGGGAAUCUGCCCCUCUGCUUUUCCUGCAGCUCCUGCCAGGAGGGGACAGCCGGGGGGUCUGGCUGUGCUCCAGGAACAGGGACAGGAGGAGAGGGAACGGCCUCAGGCUGGGCCAGGGCAGGCUCAGGGUGGGCACAGCAGGAAUUUCCCCAUGGAAAGGGUGCUCAGGCACUGGAACUGCCCAGGGAGGGUUGGACAGCCACAAGAGCCCCCUGAGCCUCCUUCUCUCCAGGCUGAGCCCCUUCCCCAGCUCCCUCAGCCCCUCCUGGGGCUCCAGCCCCUUCCCAGCUCUGUUCCCUUCCCUGGACAUGCCCCAGCCCCUGCAGGUCCCUCCAGCCUGAGGGCCCAGAACUGGACACCCCUGGAGGUCCCUCAGCAGUGCCAGCACAGGGGACAGUCCCUGCCCUGGUCCUGCCUGUCCCCCUGCUCACAGGAAUGUGUUCAUUCCCAAUUCUGAUUAAUUUGCAGUCCAGGAGCCCCCACCUUGUCCUGACCCCUUACCUGGAGGAUUCCCAGGUCCCUGUCGAGCUGCUGAUGGGAUCAGAGCCAUCCAAAGGGACUUGUGUGAGAAAUGAAAGCCUGGACGUCCCCUGGAUGUGGAGCAGUGUGGAUCCCCUGCUCCAGAGACACUUUUAGGGCAAACUCUGCUCCUCCAGGGGUGUCUGUUCCACCAGAGGACCCUUCAGGGAGGACGGACAUUGGGAAUGUGUCACUGAAAACCUGCAGAGCUGACAGGUAAACGAUGCUCACCUCUGACUCAACGUGGCUUUGAUUUGACCUCAUCUGCUCCUCCUGUGCCCUGCUGGCUCCAGAGCUCUGGGAACAACCAGCAGUGCUGUAUUAGCUACAUAAAGGCUGGUUUUGCAUUUCCAGAUACUCUCAGUGCAGGGAUUGCUGACAGAUGUCUUCAGCCUAAAGCUCAUCUCACCCAAGGUCGAGGCUUUAGGAUGGAGUUCACUCCCAGCUGGCCCUGCUCAGCAAGAGGAGGGAGAACCAGAGGUGUUUGAGGCACUUCUUUGUGUCAGCCUGGCUUGAUAACGUGCCCAGAACCAAGCAGUGGGGCCCAGCCCGUGCCCAGCCCAUCCCAGCACUGAUGGAAAGCAGGAGCAGCUCCAGCCACGAGCUGCUUUGGGAGCAGGCAGCCCACAGGCACGGAGCCAUUCCCAGCCAGCUCUGGGAGUGCUGGAGCCAAGGAGAGCAUUUCCACUCUGUACCUGGCGGCUGGGAGCCCUUCCCCAGUUGAGGAUCCCCUUUUUGAGUUCCUGAGUGACCUCUGAGCACUCCCAGGCCAAAAGGCAAGAAAUCUGUAGGGGAUUAAUAAUACAAACUCCACAAAAAAACCCGAAGCUUUUAGUUCUUCCACUUUUUGUAUAAACCUUCCUGAAUAAACCCCCAGUUUAUCUCCUGCCAACACCCAGGGAGUGCUGAGGAGCUGAAGGGAGCUCUCCAGGUGAUGGCCCUGGCUCUGGCUGUCCUGUUGUCACAUGCCAAGUGUCCCUGUCCCACCCUGACAAGAGCUUAAGUUGGAAUUGCUUAACUGGGAACUGAAAGUGGAAAUCCUGGACAAGGGGAUCCUCACACCCUGAGCAGCCUGGAGAGGGAGCAGGGGCAACAUUCCUGUCUCCAUCAACCCCUCACAGCUUCUCAAACAAAAACCCUUUCCUUUUGAAACCCAAGCACUGAUUUUGCCCUCCUAAAGGAGAGGGAAAGCAGCCCCAGCACAGUGAGCACAAGGCUCAUACACACCCCAGCCUUUCCCUGUUUACCUUCUGUACUAUUUAGAUGACAUUUCCAGGCACCUGAGCCUCUCCCAGCUGGGAUCUCUGCUGGGAUGCUCUUCCAGGAGGAGCUGUGGGAAAAGCAGUGCCAAAGUGACCUCAGGCUCACUCCCAGCCAGUGGAACCACCACCCCCUGCUCAUUUCUCCUCAGGGGCUGUGAGAGGAGCCCCUCUGGCUGUGCUCCUGCACAGAGGGACACCAAUCCCACCCAGACUGCACUUCCCAGUGUGGCUGAGCCAGAGCUGACCCAGGGAAGAAAUUCCUGCUCCAUUUUCCCCAAAGCCAGGGGGGAAGCAGGGCAGGAGGGGGUGCAGUCACCUCUCCUCCAGCAUUCCUUACCUUGCAGCUUCAGUGCUGCCCAGGCUGCCUUUGGAGCUCCCUCUGGUACCCAGGUGCCAACAUCCCUGCUCCCAGGGGUUCUGGAGGAUCCAGCCUGGCCCCACAGGAAUUCCUGUGCUGCAGGAGGAGCAGGAAUGUCCCCUCCCCUCCUCCUGCCACACAGCUGGCACAGCAGGGAGGAGAAGCCUGGCACAGACACAUCUGGGAUGCUCCAGGGAGAGGAGAGCUGAGCUGGGCAGAGCCAGGGAAAGCCUCCCCUGCCGUGCUGAUGGAAUGAAAGUGCCCAAACCAGCCACGGAAUGGAGAGAGGAGGAAGCUCAGAGCCAAAAGAUCAAAUCCCCAGCAGACCCCAGCUCCUCCUGCCCCCAGCCCUUGGGAGAUGGAGACAUGGAUUCACUGCUGGAAAAUGGGUGUCACAUUUCAGAGGGCAAAAUUACUGCCAAGUUCAAUUGCUUCCAGAGAUACUGAAUAUAAACAAACACUUUAUUUGUGUGAAUACUUCUGCAAAAGGCUGCAGUGAGGAGAUACCAGCUGGAGACGUGGUGCAAUACUCCAGAAACUCAGGAACAUUUUCUGGACUAAAAUGGAAAAUCUGACAGAAUCAAUGACUCAGAGGACUUGAAACACUUCUAGAAAGGGUCACAAUUGUUUUGCUGAAUAUCAUUGAAUACAUUAUCUAUAGUUAAUUAAAUAGAGGAGUUAUAAUAAACCAUUGACUGUGAUCCUGCAUUAAAGCAAAUUUAGUAACAUUCACAUUCUCUGGUGUUUAGUGCUCCAUCUCCAGCACAGAGUAGGGCUGAGGAAAUGCUCCCACUAGGCACCAUUCUCUGCCUCUUAACUCAUGUCUUUCUAGUUCCACAUUAUCCCAAAAAUUCCCACAGAGAGGCUGAGAAAACCAACACUGCCCUGGCUGUGUGGAGCAGCUGCACCUCAGUUGUACAGAGCUAAACAUCACAGAAAUCCCCAUUAGCCACAUUUACCCCAAAUUCAGAGACUCACCAUCAGGAUGAUGAGCAAAAUUGGAUAAAAUGGUCUCAACUGUACAGCUUUUACCUCAUUUUCUAGGCUGGUAACACCAAUAUUAAACAAGCAUGAUGAGAGACCAGGCCAGAGCUGGGAAUUGGCCUCUGCCAGCCCUGGGCACCCCGGGAGGGCCACACCAAAAUGUGCAUUUCACACCUGCACUGGCAGCAAAUCCCCACCAGCCACCUGUGGGCACUGGGAGCACCUUUCAAUACACCACACACACACAUUUGGGGGCAAAUAGCAGCAGUUUUUACUGUCCACUGGAAAAUGUGCACUCGGGGGGGAGCCCAGGCCAGCCCCAGAGCUGUCACAGAGCCUGUGCUGCCACAGGCAGCUCCACAUCCCCUUCCCUGCCUGCCUGGAGGCAGAGCUCAGCUCCCAGGCAGCCAGAACAAGCAGAGCUAUGUUCAAGAGGGUGGAACCAACAAUCAGCAACUUGAUUUCCACAGUACAGAGUCAAAUACACCAUGAAAUUAAAUCCAACAGUACAAAAUGCUUGAGAACAUUCUGUUUCCAAGGUGCUAAACAUGGGGGCUUCCUUCCCCCCCAAAAAUGGGUUGAAUAUCUCUAGAAACUACCACACAUCACCAAAUUCUCUACUUUUUUUUUCUCCUGCUUCUGGCCUUCUUUGCAACAGCUGGAGAAUAUUCUGACCCUUCCAAAAAUGCACACAAGACACCAAGAUUGUGCUCAACAGGUUUACUCAGACUGGACUCUUAAAUGCUCAAGAAAAAGGCACAGAUUAAAAGAGACUCUGAUGACUCUUUUGAACACAGCAAAUGGAAUUGUUGUUUGUGAGGAAAAAAAAAUACUGCUAUGAAUUGUAUGGGUUGAAAAGUUCAAAUCUUCUUCCCCUUUCCUAAUUAUUGGCCUUCAUUAAAAUGGAACUUAAAUUAAAUUGUAUAAACAUAUGAAAUAAAGUCUCAGUAUUAGGAAGUUUUGUUUUUGUUUUGUUUCCUCUAUGUACAACUCUUAGUAUACAAUUUGUACUUUCCAUUUUACAUUUAACUACAUCCUCCUGGCCACGGGGAGAGCCGAGGGCUCCUCGGUGGGAAAUGCUU